ACGGCUCAGUAACACGUGGAUAACCUGCCCUUGGGUCCGGCAUAACCCCGGGAAACUGGGGAUAAUACCGGAUAACGCAUAUAUGCUGGAAUGCUUUAUGCGUAAAAUGGAUUCGUCUGCCCAAGGAUGGGUCUGCGGCCUAUCAGGUAGUAGUGGGUGUAAUGUACCUACUAGCCAACAACGGGUACGGGUUGUGAGAGCAAGAGCCCGGAGAUGGAUUCUGAGACAUGAAUCCAGGCCCUACGGGGCGCAGCAGGCGCGAAAACUUUACAAUGCGGGAAACCGUGAUAAGGGGACACCGAGUGCCAGCAUCAUAUGCUGGCUGUCCGGGUGUGUAAAAUACACCUGUCAGCAAGGGCCGGGCAAGACCGGUGCCAGCCGCCGCGGUAACACCGGCGGCCCGAGUGGUGAUCGUGAUUAUUGGGUCUAAAGGGUCCGUAGCCGGUUUGGUCAGUCCUCCGGGAAAUCUGACGGCUUAACCGUUAGGCUUUCGGGGGAUACUGCCAGGCUUGGAACCGGGAGAGGUAAGAGGUACUACAGGGGUAGGAGUGAAAUCUUGUAAUCCCUGUGGGACCACCUGUGGCGAAGGCGUCUUACCAGAACGGGUUCGACGGUGAGGGACGAAAGCUGGGGGCACGAACCGGAUUAGAUACCCGGGUAGUCCCAGCCGUAAACGAUGCUCGCUAGGUGUCAGGCAUGGCGCGACCGUGUCUGGUGCCGCAGGGAAGCCGUGAAGCGAGCCACCUGGGAAGUACGGCCGCAAGGCUGAAACUUAAAGGAAUUGGCGGGGGAGCAC
rnacentral:rRNA from 1 species